UGUCAGGUCGUCUGCAUCUGUUCCUGCUUACCCUGUUGUGCCUUAGAGUCCUUGUGGAGUUUGUUGGACUACUUUUGUUGGGAUUAUUCUUUGUUGGAUGUUCUACCUGGACUUCUCAGCCUCCUCAGUACCUGAGUAAAUGUACUUAGUUACUUUCUCCUGCUGUGCAAUACUCCUCUAUGAGACAGCAAUGGACUGCAUUCAGUUUGGAGAGGUGGAAAGUGAUGCAGAGAGAGAUGAAAACAGUGGAGAAUGCACCCAGAACACACUGGGAGAAUAGUGUACUGUGUACUGUACACCUGACUGUGUGGCCAAUCUCCAAUUCUGUCAUUAACUUUGCUGACGACACAGUGAUGGUGGGCCUGAUCUCCGACAACGAUGAGAAGGCCUACUUUGAGGAAGUGGCUGACCUGUCACACAUGUGCUAGGAUAACUGCCUACUCAUGAAUGUCACUGAAACCAAGGAGCUUAUGGUGGACUUUAGGAAAGCACAACAACGGAGGACGUACACGCCACUGAAGAUUAAUGGGACUACUAUGGAGAGGGUGAGCAGCUUCGAAUACUUGGGAGUUCACAUCAUAGAGGAUCUGACAUGGACAACACAAACAGAUUCUCUGCUGGUGAGAAAGGCAAGGCAGCACCUUUGCCACUUCAGGCAGCUGAGGAAAUUCAGAGUCUCUCUGAGGCUUCACUCAGGACAGAAGGGCUCCGAGAGAGUUUGGCUGAACAUUACUGGAACUACACACAGGAUUUAUACACCAAGAGGUGCAGAACCAGAGCCUGUAGGAUCAUGAAGGAUCCUCACCACCCCAAUAACAGACUGUUCCAGCUGUCCCAGUAGACAAGCGCCUCCGCCUAUUGUAAUUUCUUUUGUAUUGUUGUGAUUGCGUUUGUUCUGUGUUCUGCACUAUCUCUAUGGGUAUUGCCAUUUUUCAUUUCAGUGCACAUCCUAUAUGUGCAUGUAACAAACAAAGUUCUUGAAUCUUGAUAAGCUAGCCGCAGCACUGCUGCAGUGAGUUUGCUUGCUGAAGGGAGAGACUCCCAUUACAAAUAGCUUCUUUAGGUCUGUCAGAUUGUGCAGCUGAGGCGGUACAUCUUGAUUGACCCUGCACUGCCUCAGCUCCCCUCGGGGGUCAAAGCAUUGCCCCCUCCUGGAAUAAACUGUACCGCUACUCUUAUCAAGGUGACUGUGCAACACACACACAUAAGAGUUAAUAAAGUCACACUGCAAAAGACAAUCUUAUGACAGUAAGCUGUUUUGUCUCUUCCUCAGUGAAGACUGAGACCAGUUCUCUAAUUACAACCCUAUCUCCCAGAAAUUAUAUACUUCCCUGUACCAAAAACACCUUAUGCCAAAUCUCUUAAUGACUUCAGACCCAUUGCUCUCACACCUCUACUUAACAAAUGUAUGGAGCGUCUCAUGUGCAAAGAACUGUCAUCUCAAACAGCUGAGUUUAUGGACCCCAUGCAGUUUGCCUACUGAGGUAAUCAUGGUGUUGGAGAUGCUACACUCAAUCUCUUGGAUAAAGUCCACUGUCAUGUAGACAAAGCCAACACUCAUGUCUGUAUUCUUUUUAUGGACUUCUCCUCUGCUUUUAAUACAGUCCAGCCCCACCUCCUUUUAAGUGCCUGUGUGACCUGAACAUGAGCAGCAGUCUGGUCCUUUGGGUCAGGGAAUUCCUGAGAGAAUGACCGCAGCAUGUCUGCAUCAACAACACCCUUUAUGACUGCCUUGUCCUGAAUACAGGAGUCCCUCAGGGAUGUGUACUAUCGCCCCUGCUGUUCUCAACAUACACAAAUGAAGGGCAGUGUAACAGCAGUGACCUCUCCCUUAUCAAGUAUGCGGAUGAUGUGGCCCUGGUUGCCUGCCUGCAGGAUAUGAACAGUGCCUCCUACUGCCAGUACAUCAACAGCCUUGCCUCCUGGUUUGACGACAGCUUCUUAGACCUUAAUGUCACCAAGACCAAGGAGCUGUGUCUAGGAAGCAAUAGAAGAGCAGGCAGCGCAGGUCCUCCCUACAAGCCAAUCAGUAUGAAGGGUCAGGAAGUGGAGCACGUCACUAAGUUAGACAAUGAACUCAAUUUUCAAGACAAUGUUGACUACAUCUACAAGAAAGCAAGACAGUGCCUCGCUCUACUCAGGAAACUAAGGAAUGUUAACACCAGCCAGCAUACCCCGUCCAUGGUCUACAAAUCACUGAGAGUGUUCUCACAUUUAACAUCAUCUCAUGGUAUGGAAACUUAGUUUCAGUAAAACAAAAGAACAACCUGACACAGGUCAUCAACCAGGCCAGCAGGAUCAUUGGAGGCAAACAGCUCCAACACUUAUUUUCUCAAUCCACAACAAAAAAAUCAGAUCUACAAUGACUCAGCAUUUCAGUUGCUGCCAUCAGGCCACAGACUGAAAGUCCCAGUGGCCAGGAAAAACGGUUACAAGAAAUCCUUUAUUCCAUCAGCUGUGACCAUCCUCAAUAAGAGCCUGUUUAAAUAGGCCCUUUGGAACUCGCCUGCCACUUGUCAC